UGUAUCUGAAGUCUGACGAGGAUGAGAACCUCCGGGGGCAAGAGGUUCGACUCGAGCGAAGCGAGAGAACGUUGCGCCAGCAACGGCCCGCAGGGCGAGCCACGCAGUGGCGAGUCAUCCUCUAUCACCGA
rnacentral:sRNA from 1 species